rnacentral:rRNA from 1 species
GAUGAACGCUGGCGGCGUGCCUAAUACAUGCAAGUCGAGCGAAUGGAUUAAGAGCUUGCUCUUAUGAAGUUAGCGGCGGACGGGUGAGUAACACGUGGGUAACCUGCCCAUAAGACUGGGAUAACUCCGGGAGACCGGGGCUAAUACCGGAUAACAUUUUGAACCGCAUGGUUCGAAAUUGAAAGGCGGCUUCGGCUGUCACUUAUGGAUGGACCCGCGUCGCAUUAGCUAGGUGGUGAGGGAACGGCUCACCAAGGCGACGAUGCGUAGCCGAACUGAGAGGGUGAUCGGCAACACUGGGACUGAGACACGGCCCAGACUCCUACGGGAGGCAGCAGUAGGGAAUCUUCCGCAAUGGACGAAAGUCUGACGGAGCAACGCCGCGUGAGUGAUGAAGGCUUUCGGGUCGUAAAACUCUGAUGCUAGGGAAGAACAAGUGCUAGUUGAAUAAGCUGGCACCUUGACGGUACCUAACCAGAAAGCCACGGCUAACUACGUGCCAGCCGCCGCCGUAA